CUAAGGACUGUCCCCUAGCACUCGCUGGUCCACUUGUCUCCUUACCUUCUUACUAGCAGGCAGAAGCUCCUGGUAUAUGGUCUGGGACAGAGAAAAGCUGUAUGUAGUGAGUGUAGAAGAAAGGGAACAUGCCACAGUGUUAGAGAGACCAAAGUCAGCAUUACCUUAACUAAUUUCAUUGUCAGCCAGUCCACACAAGUUUUGUUCC